AUUUGCGGCUAUAGCAUCAUGAGAAUGUCCAAUCCCAUCUGAUCUUGGAAACUAGGCAGGGCCUGGUUAGUACUUGGAUUGGAGACCAGUCACAAUACCAGGUUCUGCAGUGG
rnacentral:rRNA from 1 species